rnacentral:pre_miRNA from 1 species
UGACAUACGGUGAAUCUCGGCCCUCCGAAACAAAUCGAACGGUUGAGAUUCGUCCACAUCAUCACGAGUUAAAAUUUGACUCCUAGUUCCUGAAAUUUGACUCCCAGUAAAAUUUUUACUCCUAAGUAAAUCUGUGAGUAAAAUUUUAACUCGUGAUGAUAUGGACGAAUCUCAGCCGUUGGACUUAUUUGGAGGGCCGAGAUUCACCCUAAGUCA